rnacentral:rRNA from 1 species
GAUGAACGCUGGCGGCGUGCCUAAUACAUGCAAGUCGAGCGAACAGACGAGGAGCUUGCUCCUCUGACGUUAGCGGCGGACGGGUGAGUAACACGUGGAUAACCUACCUAUAAGACUGGGAUAACUUCGGGAAACCGGAGCUAAUACCGGAUAAUAUAUUGAACCGCAUGGUUCAAUAGUGAAAGACGGUUUUGCUGUCACUUAUAGAUGGAUCAGCGCCGCAUUAGCUAGUUGGUAAGGUAACGGCUUACCAAGGCAACGAUGCUUAGCCGACCUGAGAGGGUGAUUGGCCACACUGGAACUGAGACACGGCACAGACUCCUACGGGAGGCAGCAGCAGGGAAUCUUACGCAAUGGGCGAAAGCUUGAUGUAGCAACGUCGCGUGAGUGAUGAAGGUCUUCGGAUCGGAAAACUCUGUUAGUAUGGAAGAACAAAUGUGUAAGUACCUAUGCUCGUCUUGACGGUACCUAAUCAGAAAGCCACGGCUAACUACGUG